rnacentral:rRNA from 1 species
UGGGGAAUAUUGCACAAUGGGCGAAAGCCUGAUGCAGCAACGCCGCGUGAGUGAUGAAGGCCUUCGGGUUGUAAAGCUCUGUCUUUUGGGACGAUAAUGACGGUACCAAAGGAGGAAGCCACGGCUAACUACGUGCCAGCAGCCGCGGUAAUACGUAGGUGGCAAGCGUUGUCCGGAUUUACUGGGCGUAAAGGAUGCGUAGGCGGAUUUUUAAGUGAGAUGUGAAAUACCCGGGCUUAACUUGGGUGCUGCAUUUCAAACUGGGAAUCUAGAGUGCGGGAGAGGAGAAUGGAAUUCCUAGUGUAGCGGUGAAAUGCGUAGAGAUUAGGAAGAACACCAGUGGCGAAGGCGAUUCUCUGGACCGUAACUGACGCUGAGGCAUGAAAGCGUGGGUAGCAAACAGGAUUAGAUACCCUGGUAGUCCACGCCGUAAACGAUGAGUACUAGGUGUAGGAGGUAUCGACCCCUUCUGUGCCGCAGUUAACACAAUAAGUACUCCGCCUGGGAAGUACGAUCGCAAGAUUAAAAACUGCAAAGGAAUUGACGGGGUCAAUAGCUGUUUCCU